UGUGUAAUUGAGUUCAUUUGUUGCAUGAAAUGAAACAGGCAAGUGGGUGACACGGGAAGAAGCAUUUGCUGCAUCUGAAGCUUCUUCAACUUCAGCUAAAAAAAGCCCAUUUUGAAAAAACCAUUGUCAGCUUUGGAGGGUAGAUCGACUUCGGAAAACAAAGAUGCUGCAAAAUAUUAGGCAACUCUCUAGGUAAUUGCUCUUGAUGAUCAGAUGUGUAGCUGGAGAAGGAAAUAUAGAGAGUAUGCUUUCAGUUGAAAUGGGCUUGAAGAAUCUUGCAUUUCCUUUUGAAGUAUAAGGUUGAGGAUACCAUCGUGCUUGCACUGGCACAGCAGCGGCAUGCAAAUGCAGUUCGACUAUCUGGUUUGAGUUUGUCUUAUACGCGCUGUUGACGGGCUUGAUGGUUGAUACCUGCUUUAAUUGUUAAACUCCCUCGCAGUUUCUGGUUUCUAUUUGAAACCACUACAGUUGUCUAAUUUUUAUGAAUAUAAGUCCUCUCUUAAGUGAGGCACCGAAAAGUCAUCAUUAUCCCAUAUAGACUUUUGUGUUGCACAAUUCAAAUAAUACAUGGUUUCAAUUUUUCUUGACUGGAGUUGCCCUUUUAUCAGAAUUGGUGUCCAAAUCAGCAGCCUCUUGUCAAUCUCAUUUUCAUGUUGUGCAUAAUAUGUUUUUAUCAUUUGAGCAUGUUAGCCAAUCCCAGA